UACGGGGGGGCAAGCGUUGUUCGGAAUUACUGGGCGUAAAGGGUCCGUAGGUGGCUUGGUAAGUUUGAUGUGAAAUCUCCGGGCUUAACCCGGAAAUGGCAUUGAAUACUAUUGAGCUGGAGGUUUGGAGGGGGGGGGACUGGAAUUCUCGGUGUAGCAGUGAAAUGCGUAGAUAUCGAGAGGAACACCAGUGGCGAAGGCGAGUCCCUGGACAACACCUGACACUGAGGCACGAAAGCUAGGGAGCAAACAGG
rnacentral:rRNA from 1 species